UGGUAGUGUAUUGGACUACCAUGGCAUUCACGGGCUAUCGGGGGAUUAGGGUUCGAUUCCGGAGAGGGAGCCUGAUAAACGGCCACCACUUCUACGGAAGGCAGCAGGCGCGAAAAUUAUCAAAUCCUGAUUCAGGGAGGUAGUGAAAGAAAUAAUGAACUAGGAUUUAUCCUGGGAUCACAAUGGGCUUGAUUUGCAAACACUUAGCGAGGAACAAUUGGGGGGCGAGUCUGGUGCCAGCAGCCGCGGUAAUUCCAGCUCCAAUAGAGUAUAUAAACGUUCCUGCAGUUAUUCGAUGCUCGUAGUUGGAUUUCUGAGGUUGAGACGGGAGGGUGGCUAUGGCCAUCGCCCGACUCUUUCCUCAUCCACCUGUUUGCGAAGUCCGGGAUUGAUUUCUCGGCUUCGGGCGCAGUAUCUUACCAUUUCAAUAUUCGUAGUCUUCAUCGAUUAUGUUGUUUCUUUGAGCAAAUUAUAGUGUUUCAGGCAGGCGUGCGCCGGAAUACAUUAGCAUGGUAUAAACGAAUUGGACCGUGUGCCCGUAACUGGGCCUCUCCUUAUUGUUGGUUUGAAGGACACGGAGAUGGUUAAUAGGGACAGCGUUUAUUUCACGAGGAGGCAUUAGUAUUUAAUCUCCAGAGGUGAAAUUCUUUGAAAUAUUAAAGACUAACUUAUGCGAAAGCAUCGUUUGCCAAUGAUGUUUUCAUUAAUCAUUGAACGAAAGUUAGGGGAUCAAAAGACAAUCAGA
rnacentral:rRNA from 1 species